AAUGAACGCUGGCGGCAUGCCUAACACAUGCAAGUCGAACGAAGGCUUCGGCCUUAGUGGCGCACGGGUGCGUAACGCGUGGGAAUCUGCCCUUGGGUUCGGAAUAACAGUUAGAAAUGACUGCUAAUACCGGAUGAUGUCGUAAGACCAAAGAUUUAUCGCCCAAGGAUGAGCCCGCGUAGGAUUAGCUAGUUGGUGGGGUAAAGGCCUACCAAGGCGACGAUCCUUAGCUGGUCUGAGAGGAUGAUCAGCCACACUGGGACUGAGACACGGCCCAGACUCCUACGGGAAGCAGCAGUGGGGAAUAUUGGACAAUGGGCGAAAGCCUGAUCCAGCAAUGCCGCGUGAGUGAUGAAGGCCUUAGGGUUGUAAAGCUCUUUUACCCGGGAUGAUAAUGACAGUACCGGGAGAAUAAGCUCCGGCUAACUUCGUG
rnacentral:rRNA from 1 species